AAAUUUCUAUUAAUUUUAAUUUUCUUAGAAAAUAUUAUACAUGAAGAAGACAUAAAGAAUUUAUACCAAGCCUUAAAACGCAACUCGUGCAAUAUUUUCUAAUAUUGUGCAAUAACCGUAGUUUCAUGCAGAUGAAGAUACCAGCUUAGGCUCCGUUCAUAAGUGAGCAUUAACUUGCAAUGGUCAUAAACGUUUACCACUUUCAUGACUGAAAAAUGCGACAAGCCUACUGUAGAUCGUUUUAUGGUAUUUUCAAAAUACAGGGUGUAUAUUAAAAAUCUUCUAGAUGACAAAGGGCUUUGGUGACUGUUGAAAAAUUGUACAUUUAGAAAUAAGGACCGUUCCAAAGAAUUCGAAUUUUACGCCUUCUCGCCAAGGCUUAUGAAAGAGAACAAUUCGAAUCGUAUUUUCUUCCUUUUACUCAAGAGAGAACGUGUCUAUUUGUGGUCGGCGCAUCUUUCAUAAUUUUCUACGGAGAAUCCUCAAUCCUCCUUUAUUUAAAGAAGCAACAUGUUAUACUCCAGAAAGAGUUCAGAGUCUGAAAGAUGACCAGAAAGUUCCAGCAGGUCGGCGUCAUUAUGGUCGUAUCACAUUUCACGCGAUGUAUUAUCAUUUUUUCUUCCUCUGUUGUAACUUUUCCCAGUAGCUCGUGUCUGGCGUCGCCACUGCUACAACGAUACGGCAUUAAAUAACACUCGACGGUAAAGCCAUUAGAUCAGUCGACUGCAAACGCAGAUUAACAAGUAUUUUCAGCUUCGCUUUCAUAUCGGUAAUCUAGAGAGUUCACAUUAAACUACUCUAUAGCAAGUAAAAGUCUAAUCGAAUUAUACAGAUAGAAAAUACUUUUGAGAUGAAUAGGAAUGCCACAUGAAAAAUCUUCUUUACCUUCUCAUUAAUUCCACUGUCCUGCAACGUUACCUAACUCGGUCGUAGUUGCUGAAAAACAAAUCUAAUUGCCAUCCGUUGCAGUAGAUGGCAGAUCCCACGAUGUCUAAUUCAACAGUCACUACACUCGCUCGUUAUCUGCUUCUAAUUCUGGUAGAAUCGCGUGAAAGCGAGGUCACUACGUCCCUUCUCGUCAUUCUUAUGAAAUAUCUCAAUAAAACGAUCAACCGAUCUCAUCCCGUGCUCAGAAGAUAUAAAAUAUCUAAAAGGUAAUAAGUCAUGAACGUGAUCGUGUAUACCAAAGCUGUAGGAAAUCCGGCCUAGUCCUCACUGCUGCGACAACAACUUUUGCAGGAUUACGUAAAGGUUAUGUUAUCCUGUCAGCAGUGCUCUGUAACGAAUUUUGUAACAUUGCGAGUCGCGUUGAAUAUUAAGAAUCUGCGUGGUGCAGUGUGUUACACAGUUUUAUUAUGAGGCUCUCACACCGAACGAAAGGGAGCUCUCACCUUAAAUGGAGUGAAAAUCGAGAAUAUACAAAGCAGCCAUUUAACGACGCUGCGGGUGCGUUAUCGUCGACGAGAGUGGCUUUCAAAAUGGUCUGAACAUAAAGGCGCACCUUCAUAGUCAUUGGCUUUGACAAUUUUUCACGUAAGUAGUCAAGACUUUCUCGCUCGAUUGACUUUGACCUUACUCUCUCAUUGAAGACUGCCUCAAAGUUAAGGUCAGUGAAAAGGAGAAAAAAGAACGUUGCCAUACAAAUUUUUAAGCGAUUCCUAACCUCGAAAUCUUAUUACGUUCUGAUUGCUAUUACAGUUUCCUGGACGGACUAGUAAAUCGAAUAGCUUACUUAAUAGUCGCUGGAUAACUAUAAAUCUUAAAGUCCUCGACACCUAGACCUUCCCUCUCCUUGGAGUUGAUCAAAAUGGAAUCGAGCUUCCGAAGAAGGUCUCGACGAUCUAGGAUACAAGGCGAUGUCUACUUCUGGAGCGAUUCCGUAAGCAGAUAGCCGUGAAAGUUCGUCACCUAACCUAGUCGCUUAGAAAGUUUUUUGUUCGCGAUGGAGAAGCGUAGAAUUCAGCUGGAUAAAUAGAUCUGCGGAUUGCGGAUAUACAGGGAAACGACCGAUUACGAAAGAGAAUUGCAAGACACCAGGUAAUUCGAUAAUAAUACAUGGCCACGUUCAUUACGAUAAAGAGCUGAUAAAUGAAGAUGGUCUUAGUCUAAUAAGCCACAUGCCAGGAUGCUUGCAGGGAAUAUUCCUAAUUCUUGGCCAAGUUCCAAAUACCAGAGAACUUGGGUUUUUCUACGGAUGGCUGUUAUCACAUACUCACGUAGUGGAAACUUUACUGAGGUAUAUUUUGGUGACUACAGCAGCUAUUAAUAACUCUAGUAUUGAGUACAGAUGCAAUCUGAAGAAUCAGCUGAUGGAAGAUCAUAACAGUGAUAAAGAUUAGGAUUACGUUGUCGUGGCUAUUAAUAUUAAGGACUGGAUAUCCAACGUUGAAGCAGUCCUCCAGCAGGAAGUCGCGAUCGUGUCUAGAACGCACGUACAGAUUGAACGCCAUGAAAUUCCCCAUCGCAUAGGUAAUCCGCACAGUGGAGUGGCUGUUUGCCCACGCAGGCUCUGGGACUUUUUCUAACGUGACGUCAUGCCCGGUUCUUGUUUUGCUACGAACCACGUCUUGGACUUAAUGUCUUCUGUAAUGACGUUUACUCUUCGGGACGUUAUCUCAUCGCAGCGAUAAAACGAUAUUCACUAAUGACAAAAUUUUCAAGAGUCUCCUUACUGGCUCUGUAAAAUUCCACGAGUUAAGGACAGUCAGGAAGACGAUGUGACGGGAAGUAUUUGAAAAUCCCGUCAAACAUCCGUAUAUCGUAGUCCUCGUGUAAAUCAGCCUUAAACCUUCUGUAUUGGAGUUGGAACAUGUAAAAAAAAAUAUUGUCGCCCACAUAAGAAUAACUAUCAUGAACGAGUGGAGCGUAUCAGGAAGUCGAUACGCAAGAACGAACUCUGUGCAGAAUGUUCAGACCCCGUUAGUGACUAAAGUCCAGUCUCCAUGUAGCGACAGUACCGAAGGAUAUAAAGGUGCUCAGUAUUUUUAAGUCGCUAUAACAGAUAGUCUAGACUCUGCUGAACCGACAAGAUUCAUUGAAAGUAACGUGGUUCUAGGUGUUGGGUUGUCGGAUAAAGCCACUUUCAAUUGUAACGGCAGAAAUCCUGCAGGACUUUCCAUUUCGAAUGGUCGCAUUGUUCAAGCUGCUCGUUUCGUUCUACAGUUCGCCAAUCGGACGACUCGCCGUCAGUUUAUUUGGUUCGUUACGUUGAAAAAGUUCUUUCGCUCGUUGGGCAGUAUCUUCGUGGAACCAGUCGAGCAUUCAUUUUCAAUUAUUCUUCGGCUUCCUGUAGGACUUUUCAUUUCUAUGGUGCCGUCACAUAUACAGCCAGCUUGUGGUACUCGUCAAUGUACUCGUUUCUAGGGUACCGACUGAUACUCGCUUUCUAGAUCUAGAAUUACUUUCCUGCGGGCUGAUGAACUCUGCCAAGUUCAAGGACGAGGAUUUCGCGGUACCAACGUCAGUUGUUAUCUGAACUUUAUAUGCUUCUGCUUUCAUAUAUUUUUAUAGAUCAUUUAUUUGCACUCGAUACAAGCAAUUUACAGACUUCUGAGUGUUCACGCCGUGCGCUCAGCCAAUGCGUUCCAUGAGUUACUUUCGUUACGGUCACGAAGACUCUUGAACUUUCCAUUUCAUCGAUGCUUUCUCCAAAUAGAUGUGACAAAUCAUUGCUUGCGUUUUAUACGGUCUAUCUGGAGUAUUUUAUGUUACAGGUAAAGAAAAAAACUCUGAUUAGUUGCACAGUUUUCUUUGUGAUUAAUUAGCAUUGCACUUGGACUUGUGAUUUCAUGAAAUUGACAUUUAGUGCCGGUCUGAUUGAGAUUUGUAAUCAUUCAGGAAAAUUUCAUAUCAUCUAUUUACUUGGCAAACUUUUCUUUAAUUACCGACAGACGGUAGGAUAGGUUAGUGUCUUGGAUUAAAAUUUAUGCGUUUGUCAAUUAUGGGAAAUAUAUGUUUGCAUUUUUUGCUUGAAAUCACCUUCGACCUCUUGGAUCAUUAGAUUUCCGUGUCAAAAAUUUACUGGUGAUUAUGGGUGACACUUAGAAUUAUCUAAUUAGGUUUGCAAUUGGGUCGUCCUGACGUCAUCUUGACCUGUUAAUCCUAACUACACACCUGGUCAGGUGCAAACCACCUGUUUACUGUUAACCUUAGGUCGCGUACAGCUGAGUUCGACAAGUGACCUUAUCGAGGUAAUGAUGUAAAGUUAGAUACCCUUUAGAGCAUUUAGAGGUUUUGGGUUAAGUAACAUCAACCGGGGUCAAAGUUUAAGUAUAUUUUCGGUCAGAGUGAUAUAUUACAUAUUUGAAAUUUUAUCAGAAAUACUGAUAUAUCUUAAUAUAAUAAUCAUAUUCAGGUUUUUCAUACACAGCCGUAUACUGUAGGUCAACAACGGACUUUGAUUUACAGUCUGUAUAAAAUUUAUUAUCGAAAGACUAAUAAAGUCGUCAAGGCUCAAGCUUUCCUCUGCCAUUAACGAAGAUUAAAAAAUGUGGUCGAUAAUUUAUUUUAGACAAAUAUGAAAUAAUUUUGUCAAGGUCGCAUAGAUAUAAAUAUCCGUUUCGCCACCGUGAUAAUUUUACUUAAAAAAUUGCUCAAUAAUGUCCAAUAACAAUAUUAUUACCAGUAACCAAAGUAGCUCAUCCAAAGGCACAGCUCGUAUCGGAGGCCUCGCGGCAAAAUUUUAAAAGUCAGGCGCACCAACUUUCGUGGCCAGAGCCUGCGAUCCGUACCGGUCGUUCAAAGCUGUCGGGAUCCGACACAAGAUUGCUCAAUGUUUUUGUCGUCCGCAUGCCUCUUGGACUUUCGCUUUCGAAAACUCACUUCGUCGACUUUCUUUUUCCGUCGUCGAUCUGGCUAUUUUUAACAAUUAACCACUCGCCGUGUGGUCUGAUUUAGUUAGUAGAGCUCGGCCGGUCGGUCGGUACAGUAGAUACCUUUGGCCGAUCCAAAGGCUCCGUAUAGAUAUUCAAAAUUAACGGCAUUUUAUUCAACGAACGUGAAAUAAAUAGCGCGAAUCACGUGGAAUCUCUAGUGAAUCUUUACUUCUGUUAAUUUUUUACAAUACAACUAACACAUGACUAUAUACCUCGAGUGGGGCAAACGUGUAUGAUAAAUCAUCGUGCGCACUCUUCUAAUAAACACAAAUCUUAUCGAUAACAUUACUCGGUAUGCACACAAGGAAACAUCGAGACGACUGCGGAGGUCCGAUAAAGUAUGGCGUGACCGGUCCCAGGAUUUCGAACCCUAUCCCAUAUUGACUACGACUUCGAGCAAUCUUAUCAGAAAAUUACUUUUUUAUCAAGGGUAUCAAGCCGCGCCGUAGCUCGCUGUGUUGUUAGUCUACUCGUUCUUGCUCACUUCGAGACAUAACCGCAUAACGUAUCUAUGGAUAAGGGUUAACAACAUUAUUUUUUACUGCCAAUUAUAUACUGGCUAUGCCAGUAGCGUACUAUGCGUCCUGACACCAAAACGAUAUUUAUGCAUCAAAGCGACGCUGAGAAAGUUCCGAUAUGUCUAGAUACUAUUACGUCGAUGAACAGAGUAAAAAAAUAUAGAAAAU